rnacentral:rRNA from 1 species
CCCUUAGAUGUCCUGGGCUGCACGCGUGCUACAAUGAUACGUGCAACGAGUUAAUCCUGCUCUGAAAGGAGUGGGUAAUCUUAUGAAUGCGUAUCGUGCUUGGGAUUGACCAUUGUAAUUAUUGGUCAUGAACGAGGAAUUCCUAGUAAGCACAAGUCAUCAGCUUGUGCUGAUUACGUCCCUGCCCUUUGUACACACCGCCCGUCGCUCCUACCGAUUGAGUGUUCCGGUGAAUUAUUCGGACUGCAACAGUUAUCUGUCGCGGAAAGUCUUGUGAACCUUAACACUUAGAGGAAGGAAAAGUCGUAACAA